rnacentral:rRNA from 1 species
UACGUAGGGUGCAAGCGUUAAUCGGAAUUACUGGGCGUAAAGCGUGCGCAGGCGGCUUUGUAAGUCUGUCGUGAAAUCCCCGGGCUCAACCUGGGAAUUGCGUUGGAGACUGCAAGGCUAGAAUCUGGCAGAGGGGGGUAGAAUUCCACGUGUAGCAGUGAAAUGCGUAGAGAUGUGGAGGAACACCGAUGGCGAAGGCAGCCCCCUGGGUCAAGAUUGACGCUCAUGCACGAAAGCGUGGGGAGCAAACAGG